rnacentral:rRNA from 1 species
GAUGAACGCUGGCGGCGUGCUUAACACAUGCAAGUCGAACGGUGAACACGGAGCUUGCUCUGUGGGAUCAGUGGCGAACGGGUGAGUAACACGUGAGCAACCUGCCCCUGACUCUGGGAUAAGCGCUGGAAACGGCGUCUAAUACUGGAUAUGUGACGUGACCGCAUGGUCUGCGUUUGGAAAGAUUUUUCGGUUGGGGAUGGGCUCGCGGCCUAUCAGCUUGUUGGUGAGGUAAUGGCUCACCAAGGCGUCGACGGGUAGCCGGCCUGAGAGGGUGACCGGCCACACUGGGACUGAGACACGGCCCAGACUCCUACGGGAGGCAGCAGUGGGGAAUAUUGCACAAUGGGCGCAAGCCUGAUGCAGCAACGCCGCGUGAGGGAUGACGGCCUUCGGGUUGUAAACCUCUUUUAGCAGGGAAGAAGCGAAAGUGACGGUACCUGCACAAAAAGCGCCGGCUAACUACGUG